UGUUGAACAUUGUUGAUAUUUGAAAUCAUCCCAAACAAACCCACCCCUCUCUUCAUUGCUCUGCCUCUAAAACAAACUCUCCAAUCCUAACCACUCUGCUCCAAGUCGGUCUCGAACCUUGGCCCGAUCAUUGCUGGCAUGCGAGGCAUACACAUACUCUUUUGGACCAUGAGGGGAAUUGGGGGAUAGAGACAUCGACUGGCCAAGUCUGACUGAAGCUGUCACUAUUGCUGUUGUUCCUGUAGGAGCUGCUCACCUCUGCCACAAUAAGUUGACCUGAGAUCAGCCUUCACCGUAUGGUCAUUACCGAGGGAUCAAUCUCAGGGGUCAUCCCGACCUCUGGACAUUAUGGAGGCCAGAGACAGAGCAAAAGGCACAUACUGUACCACCAGUCAUUGCCCCACAGACCACCAGUGCAUGAGUAAAAAUAGACACUGAUCACAGACAACAACACAAUGUGCUCUAGAUCAGUUUACGCUACUGGAUAAAUUCUGGGAUAUCUCAGACUAUGAUGGAUUCAUGAAAAUUUUGUAAGUUAAAUUCUAAGAAGUUUGUAAGAAUGUUGCUAUGUGCAAUUCUUAAACAGUUCUUGAACAUUUUUUUUUUUUUCUUUGCCUGCAGAUUACCGUAUAAUAAUAAUUAAAAAAAAGUGCAUACUAUUUUUGUCAUGACUGGCAUUCAGAGUCACGUUAUUAUUGUGGUGUGUAUUUUAAAUAGUUCUUUUUAAAGAGCCAGUCAAUGCAUCUUGUAUGUGUGUGUGUGUGUGUGUGAGAGUGAGUGCUGCUACAGUGAACAUGUCAUGCGCUUUCAUAUGUGUUGAAUGAUGCCGAAAAUUAUGUUGUAUUUACCCAAUUAAAAAUAAUUUGACUAA